GGCCUCGUAACUCCGUUGGCUAGAGCGUUGGCUAAACUAUAGCAUUUCCCUUGCUGGCGUGGGUUCGAACCCCACCGAGGCCA
rnacentral:tRNA from 1 species